rnacentral:rRNA from 1 species
GAGUUUGAUCGUGGCUCAGAUUGAACGCUGGCGGCAUGCCUUACACAUGCAAGUCGAACGGCAGCAUGAUCUAGCUUGCUAGAUUGAUGGCGAGUGGCGAACGGGUGAGUAAUACAUCGGAACGUGCCCUGUAGUGGGGGAUAACUAGUCGAAAGAUUAGCUAAUACCGCAUACGACCUGAGGGUGAAAGUGGGGGACCGCAAGGCCUCAUGCUAUAGGAGCGGCCGAUGUCUGAUUAGCUAGUUGGUGGGGUAAAGGCCCACCAAGGCGACGAUCAGUAGCUGGUCUGAGAGGACGAUCAGCCACACUGGGACUGAGACACGGCCCAGACUCCUACGGGAGGCAGCAGUGGGGAAUUUUGGACAAUGGGCGAAAGCCUGACCCAGCAAUGCCGCGUGUGUGAAGAAGGCCUCGGUU